rnacentral:rRNA from 1 species
AUUGAACGCUGGCGGCAGGCCUAACACAUGCAAGUCGAGCGAGCGGCGGACGGGUGGGUAAUGUAUGGGGGCUGCCCGUUAGGGGGGGAUAACUACUGGGAACGGUAGCUAAUACCGCAUACUAUCGGCUAACCCCUAUUGGAUUAGCUAGUAGGUGAGGUAAUGGCUCACCGAGGCGACGAUCCCUAGCUGGUCUGAGAGGAUGAUCAGCCACACUGGGACGUAGACACGGCCCAGACUCCUACGGAGGCAGCAGUGGGGAAUAGUGCACAAUGGGAGCAAGCCUUAUGCAGCCAUGCCGCGUGUAUGAAGAAGGCCCUAGGGUUGUAAAGUACUUUCAGUCGGGAGGCGUUACCGACAGAAGAAGCACCGGCUAACUCCGUGCCAGCAGCCGCGGUAAUAC